rnacentral:rRNA from 1 species
UACAGAGGGUGCGAGCGUUAAUCGGAAUGACUGGGCGUAAAGGGUGUGUAGGUGGUUUAAUAAGUUAGGUGUGAAAGUCCUGGGCUUAACCUGGGGAGGUCGCUUAAGACUGUUAAGCUAGAGUACUGUAGAGGAAAGUGGAAUUUCCGGUGUAGCAGUGAAAUGCGUAGAUAUCAGGAGGAACACCAGCGGUGUAGACGGCUUUCUGGACAAUUGCUGACGCUGAGACACGAAAGCGUGGGUAGCAAACAGG